rnacentral:antisense_RNA from 1 species
UAAAGAACCGUCUGGGAGAGUAAUUACAGGCAUUAGAUAAACUUUUUGAUUGCUACAAUGAAAAAAGCACCGCCUAAGCAGUGCUUUAUAUAUUCUGGUAGGCACGAGUGGACUCGAACCACCGACCCCCACCA